rnacentral:rRNA from 1 species
GACGUGGGGGGCGAGCGUUGUCCGGAAUUACUGGGCGUCAAGCGCGCGUAGGCGGGCUCGCAGGCGGCGUGUGGAAGGCGGGGGCUCAACCCCUGAUCGGCGCGCCGAACCGCGGGUCUGGGACGGCGAGGGGCAGGUGGAAGUGGUCGGAGGAGCGGUGGAAAUGCGUAGAGCCCGAUCGGAACACCGGUGGCGAAGGCGGCCUGCUGGAGCCGGGCCGACGCUGGAGGCGCGAGAG